GUAGGGGGCAAGCGUUGUCCGGAUUUAUUGGGCGUAAAGAGCGUGUAGGCGGCUUGGUAGGUCCGUUGUGAAAACUCGAGGCUCAACCUCGGGACGCCGAUGGAAACCAUCAAGCUAGAGUCCGGAAGAGGAGAGUGGAAUUCCUGGUGUAGCGGUGAAAUGCGCAGAUAUCAGGAAGAACACCCGUGGCUAAGGCGGCUCUCUAGUACGGUACUGACGCUGAGACGCGAAAGCGUGGGGAGCGAACAGGAUUAGAUACCCUGGUAGUCCACGCCGUAAACGAUGGGUGCUAGGUGUAGGGGGUGUCGACUCCCUCUGUGCCGAAGCUAACGCAUUAAGCACCCCGCCUGGGGAGUACGGCCGCAAGGCUA
rnacentral:rRNA from 1 species